AUACGGAGGGUGCAAGCGUUGUCCGGAUUUAUUGGGUUUAAAGGGUGCGUAGGUGGUUUUUUAAGUCAGUGGUGAAAGCCUACAGCUUAACUGUAGAGGUGCCAUUGAAACUGGGGAACUUGAGUAUGGACGAGGUAGGCGGAAUUUGUGGUGUAGCGGUGAAAUUCAUAGAUACCACAAAGAACACCGAUAGCGAAGGCAGCUUACUAGGCCAUAACUGACACUGAGGCACGAAAGUGUGGGGAGCGAACAGGAUUAGAAACCCGAGUAGUCC
rnacentral:rRNA from 1 species